rnacentral:rRNA from 1 species
CACGUAGGGUGCGAGCGUUGUCCGGAAUUAUUGGGCGUAAAGAGCUCGUAGGCGGUGUGUCGCGUCGGCCGUGAAAACCUGCAGCUUAACUGUGGGCUUGCGGUCGAUACGGGCAUCACUGGAGUUCGGCAGGGGAGACUGGAAUCCAGGUGUAGCGGUGAAAUGCGUAGAUAAUCUGGAGGAACACCGGUGGCGAAGGCGGGUC